rnacentral:rRNA from 1 species
CCUUGUACACACCGCCCGUCACACCAUUGGGAGUGGGUUGUACCAGAAGUAGGUAGAGUAACCGCAAGGGGCUCGCUUACCACGGUAUGGUUCAUGACUGGGGUG